CCGAAGCUUGGCCUGGGUAGGCCAACGAAAUAAACUGCCCCCUGAUAGCGUCUCUCGACUCUGCCGCGUCGCGGCGGUCUUCCGGGGAGACAGCGUUCCGAAAACCCCGCGAAARAAAAGCCUUAUGCGAUGUCGGGCGAGGUGCGUCUCGCCGAGCUUUGCUAAGCUCGAAACAAAGCGUACCCCACACUUCAACCCCAAACAAACUCUGAAUCUGAACUCAAAAGGAGGCACAGGCUUUGCGUCGUCGCGAAGCCGCCCGCCCCCUCAACCUUUAACGUU
rnacentral:misc_RNA from 1 species